AUGCACCGAAGCUGCGGCAGCGACACUGUGUGUUGUUGGGUAGGGGAGCGUUCUGUAAGCCUGUGAAGGUGUGCUGUGAGGCAUGCUGGAGGUAUCAGAAGUGCGAAUGCUGACAUAAGUAACGAUAAAGCGGGUGAAAAGCCCGCUCGCCGGAAGACCAAGGGUUCCUGUCCAACGUUAAUCGGGGCAGGGUGAGUCGACCCCUAAGGCGAGGCCGAAAGGCGUAGUCGAUGGGAAACAGGUUAAUAUUCCUGUACUUGGUGUUACUGCGAAGGGGGGACGGAGAAGGCUAUGUUGGCCGGGCAACGGUUGUCCCGGUUUAAGCGUGUAGGCUGGUUUUCCAGGCAAAUCCGGAAAAUCAAGGCUGAGGCGUGAUGACGAGGCACUACGGUGCUGAAGCAACAAAUGCCCUGCUUCCAGGAAAAGCCUCUAAGCAUCAGGUAACAUCAAAUCGUACCCCAAACCGACACAGGUGGUCAGGUAGAGAAUACCAAGGCGCUUGAGAGAACUCGGGUGAAGGAACUAGGCAAAAUGGUGCCGUAACUUCGGGAGAAGGCACGCUGAUAUGUAGGUGAAGUCCCUCGCGGAUGGAGCUGAAAUCAGUCGAAGAUACCAGCUGGCUGCAACUGUUUAUUAAAAACACAGCACUGUGCAAACACGAAAGUGGACGUAUACGGUGUGACGCCUGCCCGGUGCCGGAAGGUUAAUUGAUGGGGUCAGCGCAAGCGAAGCUCUUGAUCGAAGCCCCGGUAAACGGCGGCCGUAACUAUAACGGUCCUAAGGUAGCGAAAUUCCUUGUCGGGUAAGUUCCGACCUGCACGAAUGGCGUAAUGAUGGCCAGGCUGUCUCCACCCGAGACUCAGUGAAAUUGAACUCGCUGUGAAGAUGCAGUGUACCCGCGGCAAGACGGAAAGACCCCGUGAACCUUUACUAUAGCUUGACACUGAACAUUGAGCCUUGAUGUGUAGGAUAGGUGGGAGGCUUUGAAGUGUGGACGCCAGUCUGCAUGGAGCCGACCUUGAAAUACCACCCUUUAAUGUUUGAUGUUCUAACGUGGACCCGUGAUCCGGGUUGCGGACAGUGUCUGGUGGGUAGUUUGACUGGGGCGGUCUCCUCCUAAAGAGUAACGGAGGAGCACGAAGGUUGGCUAAUCCUGGUCGGACAUCAGGAGGUUAGUGCAAUGGCAUAAGCCAGCUUGACUGCGAGCGUGACGGCGCGAGCAGGUGCGAAAGCAGGUCAUAGUGAUCCGGUGGUUCUGAAUGGAAGGGCCAUCGCUCAACGGAUAAAAGGUACUCCGGGGAUAACAGGCUGAUACCGCCCAAGAGUUCAUAUCGACGGCGGUGUUUGGCACCUCGAUGUCGGCUCAUCACAUCCUGGGGCUGAAGUAGGUCCCAAGGGUAUGGCUGUUCGCCAUUUAAAGUGGUACGCGAGCUGGGUUUAGAACGUCGUGAGACAGUUCGGUCCCUAUCUGCCGUGGGCGCUGGAGAACUGAGGGGGGCUGCUCCUAGUACGAGAGGACCGGAGUGGACGCAUCACUGGUGUUCGGGUUGUCAUGCCAAUGGCACUGCCCGGUAGCUAAAUGCGGAAGAGAUAAGUGCUGAAAGCAUCUAAGCACGAAACUUGCCCCGAGAUGAGUUCUCCCUGACCCUUUAAGGGUCCUGAAGGAACGUUGAAGACGACGACGUUGAUAGGCCGGGUGUGUAAGCGCAGCGAUGCGUUGAGCUAACCGGUACUAAUGAACCGUGAGGCUUAACCUU
rnacentral:rRNA from 1 species